rnacentral:rRNA from 1 species
UACGGGGGGGGCAAGCGUUGUUCGGAAUUACGGGGCGUAAAGGGCCAGUAGGCGGCCAACUAAGUCGGAUGUGAAAUCCCCAGGCUUAACCUGGGAACUGCAUCCGAUACUGGAUGGCUUGAAUUCGGGAGAGGGAUGCAGAAUUCCAGGUGUAGCGGUGAAAUGCGUAGAUAUCUGGAGGAAUACCGGUGGCGAAGGCGGCAUCCUGGACCGACAUUGACGCUGAACGGCGAAAGCUAGGGGAGCAAACGGG